UUAUAGAUGAUGCAACAUGCAACACAUUCCUGAAACAUGAAAUAAGAAGAAUAAUAUUUAAAUGUAACAUAAUCAUUAUGCUUGUUUAUUCAUCAAAGUAUCUUCAUUCCACACCCUUUUGUCUGUUCUCAUAUCCAGCAUCAAAUAUUGGGUACAGUGUGUAGGAAGAAAUAAGUGCUUUUCAUAGUCGUUACUCUUUGCAAUGGGAGUGCUAAGGUUCAAGAACAUCUUUUUUGGAAGCUUUCUUGAGUCAAGUGGAGUAUCCCAGACAGUGUUCACCUUCCUUCUAAUUCCAUGUUGCUUGACUCUGGAUUUCAGAGCACCCCCUCUUAUCCCAAAUAUGCCUUUCCUCUGGGCCUGGAAUGCCCCAACUGAACUUUGUAUUGGAAGGUUUGAUGAGCCACUAGAUCUGAGCCUCUUCUCGUUCGUAGGAAGCCCCCGAAGAGAUGUCACAGGGCAAGAUGUUACAAUAUUUUAUGUUGAUAGACUUGGCUACUAUCCUUAUAUAGAUACAACAGGCAAAAAUGUGAAUGGAGGAAUUCCUCAGAACGGGUCCUUAAAACACCAUUUGGAUAAAGCUGAGAAAGACAUUCUUUAUUACAUGCCAAUAGACAAUGUGGGCUUGGCUGUCAUUGAUUGGGAAGAAUGGAGGCCCACUUGGGCAAGAAACUGGAAACCUAAAGAUAUUUACAGGAAUCAGUCUAUUAAAUUGGUUCAGCAACAAAAUGUACACCUUAGAGUCACAGAGGCUGCCAAGAUAGCCAAGGCUGAUUUUGAAAAUGCAGCAAAGAGUUUCAUGCGAGAGACUUUAAAAUUGGGGAAAUUACUUCGGCCAAAUCACUUAUGGGGUUAUUAUCUUUUUCCUGAUUGUUACAACCAUAAUUAUAGACAACCUGGUUUCAAUGGAAGUUGCUUUGAUACAGAAAAGAGAAUAAAUGAUGACCUCAACUGGUUGUGGAAGGAAAGCACUGCUCUUUUCCCAUCCAUUUAUUUAAACACGGACAUGUCUCCUCAACAAGCUGCGCUAUUUGUGCGAAAUCGAGUUAAUGAGGCCAUUAGGAUUUCUAAAGUACCUGAUGCUGAAAGGCCACUUCCAGUUUUUGUAUAUUCCCACCUAGUUUUUACUGAUCUAAUUUUCAAAUUCCUUUCUGAAAAAUCUUGCUUGACCCUGGACAAAUAUGUGAAGACCAGUGAAUCCUUACUUAAUCAAUGUCACCCUAGCAGCCAAAAUGUGCAGCCAAGUGCUUUGCCAGGAGCAAGGUGUGUGUACAAGGAAAAACUGGAAUUCAAGUGACUAUCUUCACCUGAACCCAGAGAAUUUUGCUAUUCAAAUUGGGAAAAGUGGAAAGUACAUGGUACGUGGAAAACCCACACUUGAAGACCUGAAGCAACUUUCUGAAAAAUUUAAUUGCAGCUGUUAUCCCUCCUUGAGUUGUAAAGAGAGAGAUGAUAUAAAAGACAUUAAUGCUAUUGAUGUGUGUGUUGCUGAGGAUGUUUGUAUAGAUACCUCUGUAAACUUAGAACCCAGCUAUCAACCUUCUUGGAAGAAAGUUGGAACUUCCCAGGGUGUCUCAUCAUCUACAUCACCUGCCACAAUGUUCUUUGUUAAUAUUUUAUUUUUCACCAUGAGUUCUUCUGUAGUGAAGUAA